AUUAAAAUUAAAUUUAGAUUUUAUGAAAUAGUAUUUUUUUGCUUGUGAUCUUGGGAUUUUCAAAACUAAUUAUUUGAUUCUAAAAAAUAUAAUUAAAAUUUUCAAUACUUGUUGCUAAACAUACGGAGCCUAAAAUUUUUUUUGGGCGCAGGAUCACUUUUCCCAAGGAGAGCCAAACACCCCCAAUUACGAGAAGAAGAAAUGAACUUUUUUUCUGUCGAUUUCUGUCGUCCUUGAGCGCAGUGCCAAAAGUGGGAGAUUAGUUUUGAGACCAGUUCCUUUUUUUAAUAAAUUGCUCCUGCGAGAAUAAGCUCAUUGGAGAGGGGGAGCAUUUCAUCGGUUUUCUCCUUAUUUUCUUCUCGAGCGAGUUAAGCUGGUGAGUUUUCUUGGGCAUCAAGCAUGAUUAGAGUACCCCUCUCGAUCAAAAAGGUUUUGCCCUAACUUCUCUCACCAGUCACCCCUGCGGCCCUCUCUUUUCUGCUAGGGCAUCACUUCCCCUCCCUGUCUUCCCUUCCGCCCGCUCGCCGAACGCCCACCACAUUGAAGAUCGGCUUCUUCACCCUUCUCGUCGCCCCAACGAUGGAUCGGUUUUCAAGUUUCUUGGCUUCUGCAUUCUCUACAAAGUCUGGCCUAAUCACUUGACGCUCAUCGAUAUCAUCCUAACAAAUCGGGGACCAACAUUGACGCCCAUAUAAUGCCUCACACGGCAUAGAAAAGAGGUUGUAGCUACCCUGCUGGCCGUUGGUGUUUAUGUUUCACCUGCUGACGCACAAGCAUUGAGCCACAUGCUGAGCCACAUCCAUCUCCAUUACGGGUCAUCAAAAAUUCUGCUUCAGAUCCCUGUACAUUUUGGUUCUACUGGGAUGCAUGGUGUAUGGAGUCCAGUGUGCUUCGGAUAGGAUCUCUUGCCUCAACUCCGAAUCUUCUUGCAUGCACUAUCGAUCUUGAAAGCGAAGAGAAUCUUCAAAACGCUAAACUAAUCACCAUACAUAUGUAGCUUCUCUGUUAAAUUUCAUUUGUCAUCACAUUAAUUACAUUAGGGUAACAUUUAGAAUUAAGUAUUCAAUAUAGGGAUGAUGUAUUAUCUAGCUCGAGACACUCUUUCCACAUUCUCAAGCUUUUCCUGCCGAAAAGAAGCUUAAAAUAGAAAAAUAUGAAAAUACGAGUAUGAGAAUUAUGUAAAAUAAUUUUUAAUGGGUGUAGUUUGGAAAGGGUCAAGCUGCCACUAGGUCCACUCAUGGCACACUAGUAAGAAAAAGAUAAAUAAUUGAUAGUAAGUAUACAAGUAAAUCAACUGGUAAUGUAAACGAUGACUAUCCUGUAGAAAGCAAUACACAAAGCGUAAUUGAUAGAUAAUCCACUUUUAUAGCUUUAUCCAUUAGUGCUUAUAAAUGACUAAUGUUACUAUGUAUUAGAAUUUACAUAUAGUAUUACUAAGUGAUUCUAUAUCUUGUCUCAUCAAUCGUCUUGUGGUUUCGUUCUAAUAUGCAUACUCUAGCCUUUGAGAAUCGAAAGGAUCGUACCCUCGCCCAUUUCAACACUUAAUAAUAAAGGUGAGUCGAGAGGAUCUGAACCUCACCUACAACGACAUCUAACCAUAGAGACAAGUCGAGAGGAUCGGAUCCUUGUAUGUUCAAUUAGCGUGUUUUCUAGAUGGGGAAUAAAUAUAAAAACUAGUAUAAAAGAAUAGCAUGCACUCUAAAAGAAAAAUGGUAUGCUUGGUAGAUUAUAAUGACUGACCAAUAUUAAAGACAUUGUGCUGCAGUCUGUAGUUCAAUAAAGAUCAGAGGAUACACUGCUCUGAUACACAAAUCUAGUUCUCGCAUAUUAGUAGCUGUUUGUAUCUAUGACAAAUCAAAUUAUGAUAUCAAUUAAUACUAAAUACACAAAGUGAAUAAAACAAUAAUAGAAAAUAAAAGAAAAAAACAUAGAAAAUCAACUACGAAAUCGGAGCGAUGUAUGCAUAAGUUUCAUAAAAACCGAACAAAUUCUUUAACUGUGGCCCUUAUACUGCCUUUAGUACUAUUUUCAGUUUCAUCUUUAGUAUCACUUCGAAUUCUACCUUCAGCACCACCUUUAGUACCACUACGAGUGCUGCCUUUAGUACACCUUUAGCACCACGUUCAAUAUCUCUUUCAGUACCACGUUUAGCAAGAAUUGUCUUAAGAAUACCUUUAUUAAUUUUUACUGUCCAUAUAUCGGUAGAAAUAAAUAUUUUUUCAUACAUAUUUUCUAUAUCUAUGUUUGGUGUAAAACUCUUAUGUUGUAGCUUCGCGUUUAACUUAUUAAUAAAUUGUGUUCUUUUCUCAAGUGACUAAAAGGUUGGAUGGUCUAGAACCUUACUGCUAUAAAAGAUUUGUUUCCGUUGGUCUAUUUAUAAUAGUAAGGUUUUAAACCAUCCAACCUUUUAGUCACUUAAGAAAAGAACACAAUUUAUUAAUAAGUUAAACGCGAAACUACAACACAAGAGUUUUACACCAAAUAUAGAUAUAGAGGACAUGUAUAAAAAGAUAUUUAGUUCUAUCGAUUUAUGGACAAUAAAAAUUGAUAAAAGUAUUCUUAAGACAAUUCUUGCUAAACGUGGUACUGAAAGAGAUAUUGAACGUGGUGCUAAAGAUGUACUAAAGGCAGCACUCGUAGUGGUACUAAAGAUGGUGCUGAAGGUAGAAUUCAAAGUGAUACUAAAGAUGAAACUGAAAAUAGUACUAAAGGCGGUAUAAGGGCCACGGUUAAAGAAUUUGUUCGGUUUUUAUGAAACUUAUGUAUACUUCCCUCCGAUUUCGUAGUUGAUUUGGUAUGUUUUUUUUUCUUUUAUUUUCUAUUAUUAUUUUAUUCACUUUGUGUAUUUAGUAUUAAUUGAUAUCAUAUUUUGAUUUGUCAUAGGUAGAAGCAGCUACUGUUAUGCGAGAACUGGAUUUGUGUAUCAGAGCAGUGUAUCCUUUGAUCUUUAUUGAAUUACAGGAUGCAGCACAAUGUCUUUAAUAUUGGUCAGUCAUUACAAUUUACCAAGCAUGCCCUUUUUCUUUUAGAGUCCAUGCUAUUCUUUUAUACUAGUUUUCAUAUUUACUCCCCAUUUAGAAAACACGCUAGUUGAACAUACAAGGGUCCGAUCCUCUCGACUUGUCUCUAUGGUUAGAUGCCGUUGUAGGUGAGGGUCAGAUCCUCUUGACUCACCUCUACUAUUGAGUGUUGAAAUGGGCGAGGGUACGAUCUUUUCGACUCUCAAAGGCUAAAGUAUGCAUAUUAGAACGAAACCACAAAACGGUUGAUGAGACUAGAUAUAAAAUCACUUAGUAAUACUGUAUGUAAAUUCUAAUAUAUAGUAACAUUAGUUAUUUUUUAGCACUAAUGGAUAAAACUAUAAAAGUGGAUUAUCUACUGCUUUGUGUAUUACUUUUUAGAGGAUAGUUGUCAUUUACAUUACCAUUUGAUUUACUUGUAUACUUACUAUCAAUUAUUUAUCUUCUCCUUACUAUUGUGUCUUGAGUGGACCUUGUGGCAGCUCGUCCUUUUCCGAAUUACACCCAUUGAAAAUUAUUUUACAUAAUUCUCACACUUGUGUUUUCAUAUUUUUCUAUUUUAGGCUUUUUUUCAGCGAUUAAGUUUGAGAACGUGAAAAAGGUGUCUCGAGCUAGAUAGAUAAAUCAUCCCUAUUUUGAAUAGUUGACCCUAAGUUUUAAUUCUAAUGUAAUUAAUGUGAUGACAAGUGCGAUGUAAGAGAGGAGUUAAAUAUGUAUAGUGAUUAGUUUAGAAUUUUGGAUUAAAAAACUUGUAUAUUUUCUUGGUUUCGAAAAGCACAGUAAAUGUUGAAUUUUUGGAUAAAAUGAUUGUUGUAUGCUACUGUUUUGUGUGGGCCAGAAAAGUUUUGUCCAUUCGGCAGGUUUGUUGCACGAAUCAGUUGAGGCUUCAUGGCAGUUCAUGGGGUGUAUUGAUUUGCAAGAACCGGAUUGAUGAAUUAUAGCAAUGUUUAUUCUGAUCUUUAUUGAACUACGGGAUGGAGCACACUAUCUUUAAUAUUGGACUUCAACAAGCAGUAGUAGUAGUGAAGGGGCUGCAGGGCUUGUUGGAUUGGUCGACUGUAACAAGCCUUCAGUUUGUUCCCCUUCAUCCUCUCAUGUUCUAUGAGCUGGAGCUAGCAACAUCAGCAGCACAUCACGAGCAACUCCUUCAACUUCCUCUCCAUUCCUGCUGAUUGGGCAUCCAAUAGCAGCUGCUGCAGUUUGGGGGCAGUGACAUCAAGUGCAGCAGCAGCAACUCAGCUGAACCUUUAUUGGGGUUUUGGAGGAAUUUCAAAAUUGGGGGUUGCUGGGAUUGUUCUUGCAUGUACUCCUGGUGAAGAAGGGAGCUUGAGGAGUGUGUAAUUUCAGCUAGAUUAGGAAUCUUGAUAGGUUGGAAAGGAACCUAUGUUCACCUUUUACUAGUUAGAAGCUUACUUCGGCCGAGUGAGAGUGUUUUCGACUGAGGAGCACCCUUCCAACUUCCCAUGUCAUUCCGCUCUCCGUGUUCCUUGCUGGUUUGGUCCCUGCACAUCCAGCAGACAACAACAGCAUGCAGCAGUAGGGCUGAUUCCGGCAGCAUUGAAGCAGCAGCUGAUUCUAGUUGCAGCAGCAAGGUUGGGUGUAUUGCAGCUGUAGCCAGGGCAAAAGCACCAAUAGCAAUCGAGGCAUCUUCCUCUUCUCCGUCAUCUUCUCUGGAAUAGAGCAGCAGCAGCAUCAAGUGCUGCCAGCUGCUUCACUGCAGCAGUGAAGCUGGCAGCAGGGUGGUUAAUUGCGAGGGGAGAAACUUUUUUUUGAUAUUGAUGAAGUUUUGAAAAUCCAAAUUCGAAAUUGAAGGUUCAUAACUUGAGUUGGGGAUGUUGGACAGUUGGAGUGUUGUUCAUACCUUUCUUGAGCUGAAAUUGUAGGUUAGUAGCUAUAAUUUUGAUGUUGAUCAAAGAUGGUGCAAUCCUGAUUUUUUGGACUGAACUGGACCAGUUUUGAUUUUUUAUAAAAUUCAUUUGAAUUUCUUCGAGAAUUUGAGCUUUGGAAGGGUUAUAA